rnacentral:pre_miRNA from 1 species
GUAGUAAUCCUUUUGUUCGGAAAUACUUAUCGGAGAAAUAGAUGUAUCUUGACCUAUUUUAGUUCUAGAUACAUUCAUUUUUAUCCAUUUCUGUGACAAAUAUUUCCGGAUAGAGGGAGUAUCCU